GCCACAGCCAUAUCACCCUGUAACCCAAGACUGGUUGCCCACUGAAGCUAAGCAGGGUUGAGCUUGGUCAGUACCUGGAUGGGAGACCUCCUGGGAAAACUAGGUUACUGCUGGAA
rnacentral:rRNA from 1 species